CAUCUAUCUAUCUACUAUUCACAAUUGAAAAAGCGACACAAAUUAUUGAUUACCGUUUUCACGACAGUCGGACAAACGGACCCGCAAUUUUAUCUGGCCAAUGACUGUUAAAUCGGCAGCAUUCCUCAAAAUUAUUUGGGGAAUGUUAUAUGCCGCUACAACAACAACAACAAUUUAUUGAAUUAUUGGUAAAAGGAACAAUACCAAUAUACAUAUAUAUUUGUUGUUUUUCUUUUGAUUAAAUAAAACGUAAGGCAUCGACGCAACUCUAAACAAAGGGCAAAAAAUAAAUAAAUUUAUUUAAUUUAUCUCCACCAAAAAAAAAAAAACACUAUUGCGCAUGCUUAAGACGACAAUUUUGUUGCACUACAAGUGCUUCCUUUUCGUUGGAAUUACUUGAUAGUGUGUUCCAUUGACUUUUCUAUUAGCAGUGACAGACGAGCAAAAUUAAUGCACCUUAAAAAAUGUUAUGCUGAGAGACGGCAGAUUUGUGCAUUUAGACAUCUGAAAUCUGAUUAUCGGCCAUUUUGGGCAGUAGUGCCAACUCAAAAUUGGUAAAUUCACAUAAAUGCACGAAAUUUUUGUACAUUCUAAUUUGCAUGAAAAUGGAUGAAAUGUGCAAAUUAAUGCAAAUCAAAUCCGCUAGUGCAAAAUAGACAUGCCGUUUGUUAAUGCUAUGUAACGCUUAACCAAUCGAUAACAGCUAGUGAAUAGUUUUACAGACAACUAUUUUGUUUGUGGUGAGUUGACGAGAAAGCAUUUACUACCCAGCAUGUCAUGGGUACUGAAACUUCAACACAUUCAAAGAAAUUUUAAUAACACCACUACAUACACACAUAUGCAACAAAGGGCGAAAUGUGCAUAAACAUUUACCUGAACUCUUCUUUCGUACAGCACCCUGAAUGAUAGAAAGAAACAACCAAAGUUCUCGUUUUUAAACAAGUUUUGUUUUGAGUUAUAUCAUGGCUGCUUGUGAAGUAUUAUUUUGCGUGUUUUAUUUAAAUCAGUGAUCUGUAGCCUAAUUAAAGUUUAAAUUAUUGAAGCACGCAUUUUUAAAUAAGUUAAACGUAAAAUAAAAGUUUGCUAAGGCCAAAAUAUGGAAUUGAAGAUUACAUUGCAUUGUCAAUUCGAAGCACGGAAUAGAAGCUACGCCAACAAUGGUCAACAUCAAGGGCGAAACCAUUGAAUACAUAUUUCAAACCUCAAACGGCGCGUUAAAGGUACGCAACCUAAUUGGUGUCACUUAGGGCAGCAGCGUAGAACUUUCGACUCGAUGGAAUAUGUGCUGCAAGCAAAUCCAGAACUAUGGAUGCAAACGCUGCUAUAUCGAACACAAAUCAUUUACACACCAGAUAUUAGGUUUAAUGUCACUUUUUUACGUGCAAUUAAACCUUUUGCUCAACAAAAGCACGAGAAUUGGAAGGAAGCAAGGCACGAGGAAUUUAGGUGAUUUUGUAACCGUUUAUCAUCGCGACGUGUGUAAACUGGGUUUUGCCAAUGAGCAAGAGGGCAAAGGAAAUGCAGUAUUUUUGGACUUACCGGCACCUCAGUUGGCCGUUUAUUUAAGUGAUUGUUUGUGAUCAUAAAAAUUUAAAAACUUCUUGUAUGUUCAAUUAGGAGGACUUUUUUGAUUCAUUUUCAUCUGGUAUUGAGCAAUCAUAACGUUGUUGUAUCGCUUUACAAGGACAUGGAUUCACCGAAAUUAGUUCAAUCGAAAUACUACAGCAAGAGCAUGGAUGUUAAGACUAGAACGUUGCCAGUGCUAGAUUUAGAAUUCCCGAAACAUAAGAAACCCUCCUCCCAGAAAUUGGAUGAAUUGAAAUUAAUGAAAGAACAGAUCUUCCAAAAACUUCUAAAGAAACCAAAAGAGUCCUCACAUAUUGUGCGCAGCUUACACUUCCAGGCUGCUCGGGAUAUUUGACAUUUGCCACUCUUCCUCCAGCCUUUGUCAGAUAGCAAAAAUUGUUCAACUAUUCAAUACGUUUUGGUUCGCAGUUUUGGGUUUUUCAUCCGUGAAAAAAAUACCAAGAACAGUACUGGAAGUGCACCUGUUGUUUUGGUUCGCAGUUUUGGGACUUUCAUCCGUGAUUGUACCAAUACCAUUCCCCAAAUUGUGCAUGAGGUAUAUAUACAUUGCUAAAUGAUGAAUGUAAUGUGCAAGAAAGGGAUGAAUGAUCACACGUACACAAGAGUUUCGUGUACUUUUGUAAAUUCGCCCUUAAGAAUGGCAUAGAAAUUUUCAUUGAAACUGCGGGUACCGCUCCCUGGCAUUGGAUAGAAAUCAAAUAUUGCGGUUGUUGGCCGCACAAUUAGUAAAAAAUCACUAAUUACUAAAAAAUAUACAUAAAUACGUUAUUAUUAGAACUUCUAUUUUAGAAAAAAUAGCUAUUUCAUUGCAUGCGUAUGUUUUUGUUUACAUUUGUAUGAAAAACAGCUGUCAGUAUUGCAUAUUUUCAUUCACAAUAGAGUUUAACAAUUUUGCCAACGAAAAUGCCACGAACUCCCACUAACUCUCUAAAAUUUUGAGGAUUAAAUGGGAGUUAGCAAACGGAGUUAACUGAGGUAACUCUAGAAUUAACCCCGAUUAGAGCAGUUAAUCUGAAUUAACGCCGCCGUCUGUCAGGGGUAUAAGUCUUCCAUACAAAAUAAGCUAAUAGCUUAAUUUGCUGGUCAAAUAAGACACGCCUAAUAUGGAGAAAUUGUUUGAGAAAUUGCUUCUUUAUUGAAUUGUUCUCGGAAAAUUGUUUACAAUCCCCUUAAAAUUAUAAAUACCGACGAGAUCAAUUUCAAUAAAAACGUAAAAAAGCAGAAUAACCUCCAAAAACAAAAACUUAUGAAAAUAGAGCCAUUUCUGAAAAGGGGAGGUCGAUCCUUUCAAGUCUGGAGAACAAAAAAUUAAAGAAAAUAAUUAAUAAUAUGGGCUAAACAUAUCACGGGAAACUGUAGGAAGACGUUUAUAGAGACUACAGCUUUUUGGAAGCCAGAGUAGAAAAAAACUACGAAUGUCAAAAAGGCACAUCCAAGCUCGUAUACACUUCGCGAGGGGACAUAAGGAUUAGGACUCUAUUUUUAUAGUACUGUUUAUCGUCCUAAAGGUCAAUCGUUGAAUUCCAGGUACACGACAACAACAGUAAAAUAAACAAACGGAAAUUUUAUGAAAUGGAGUGCUCGUGUCUGGCACAGAGUGGGCCCAAUUUUUCGAAUAAAUGGGAAAAUCGACUGGUUUUUCUAUUUAGACAUAUUAAGAAACGAAAUGGAAUCAUUUGUUUUUAAUUGAUUGCCACUCCACUGGUCUUUUAUGCAGGAUAACGACCUUAAGGACACAAUGAAGGAUACAAAGUAUUGGCAUAUGACAAAAUAAAUAAUGUUUGGAUUGAUCAGUGCAUAGCUCUGACCUUAAUCCAAUAGAAAACUUAUGAAGUGAUGUAAAACUUAAAAUUUAUGCUGGAAUUACAAGAAUAUUGAGGAUUUGUGUGGAAGUGUUGAGGAAACUCUCGUAUUCAUUCCAUUGGAGUGAUAAUAGUUUUUAUUUUAAAAUUGGGGUCCAGUAUUAAGUACUAAAAACGUAUUUUUAUUGUGAAUAUUUUUGAAUGAAUUAGUAAAUAAGUACAUAAUAAUUAUUUAAGUCCGUUUCAAUCUUAGAUAAAGAUCAUUUUCAAUUAUAUAACCGCUUAUUGCAACGUAUGGCUAAGUGUGCUAUUUGGGUGACCAUUGCUGUACAUCUUGCAAACAGAUGUUUGGAAAUCAUUAGCACAAUUUGUUGAUUUUCAAACAAUAAUAACCUUUUUGUAAAAUAAAUAUAGUACAAUAAGAUUAGAAUUCAGAAACCUUGCCUUUCGCACAGCCGGCUAAUCGAUUAACGAUCAGGUGUUAUAUAUUUUUGUUGAUAAGUUUUAAUACUUAUUGCUAUUUUAUCAAUAACCACAGCCAAAUUUCCUGCAUUGAGUUGCCUUCCAUUUUCAACAGAUCAACGUAAUACAAUUUUUCUUUUAAUCAAGUUAAGUUCGAUUAUUUGAUCAAUUAAGUUCUGUGCGAAAAGCCUCAAAUUGGUCGAAGAAUUUUAUUAAGAUUUAUGUUAAUUUUUUGAAGUUAUCUCUUUCACGGACGGAGUGACAGAAAGAUACCUGGAAAUCAGUUGGCCUAAUAUUUUUAUUUGCAUUAAUUUAAAAUGUAAUAAUAUUCGUAGAUAUUUUAUUAAUAACACAUAAUACAUAAUUUGUUGAUAUCCUUGUUCCCUUAUAAAUACAUACAUAUGCAUAUCCAUUGACAGAUACGUAUGUACAUAUAUCUUAUUAAUUGGAAUUGGUUCACGUUUAGCAUAAAAAUAACACUCAAGAAAACAAUCUGACAGAUCUUAACGGUAUUAAGUCAAUUAGAGAGAAUAAACUAACCAUUAUAAUGGCUAGGUGGGGGCUUAGGGAGUUUUUGAUUUUUUAUUUCGAUAUCUUCGUUAAUGCUUGAACUAUCUAUUGUAUAUAUAGUGUAUAUGUAGAACUCUCGCACAUCCUUCAAAACUGCAUUGUUAGUUAUUCUAAAUUGCGUCGACAGUUUUCGGAACUUAACAAAAAAUGUUAUAAAAACUACAAAAUCAAAGUAAAAUAAAAUUAUUCGUUACACAAUUUGUUUUGGCUCAUAUAAAAAUUUAAUAUUAUUGUCUCUCAAGGGUAUAAUUAAUUUUUCGGUAGAGUCUGCACAUAAAAAAUACACGAAAAAUGUUUUCUAAAGAUAUAUUUGUCCCAACUGUAGUUAAGAAUACAUAUCGCUCAGAAAUGUGCGCAAUUUCAUCGUCCAUAUUGUAUAAACAUUUCAUUCUGAUGCUUGGAAAAACAAAGCUUGAAAUAAGAAUGUGCCGCUAUUAAAUUUGUUAUGUUGUAUUAUUUUUUAACCACAAUAACGACAUAUUUCAGUUGUGCCAGAAUUAGGCAUGGUUUUUUUCAGAAAGAAAGACCAAUUUUGUGUUACAAUGGUGAAUUCGGUUUUCUUUUCAGAAAGAACUUACAUUUUUAUACUCUUGCAACAUGUUGCACAGAGUAUUAUACUUUUGUUCACAUAACGGUUGUUUGUGUCACCAAAAAGUAAAAUAGUUAGAUAUGGGGUUAUAUAUAUGUAAAUGAUCAGGAUGACGAGUGGAGUUGAAAUCCGGAAGUCUGUCCGUCGGGUGGAAUAUGGGUGAAAUCGGUUCACAACCACGCUCAACUCAAUUUUGAAUUCCAUCUGAUUCGUUCACUUUAUAAUAUAUACCAUUGAAGAUAUCGGAAUAAAAUUUUCAACAAUUACUGUAUUUGAGCUGUGACAUCACUUGUGGAAAAAUUGUCAAAAUUGGACCAUGACUUUUCAAGGCCCCUGAUAUCGAACAUGAAGUUCCUAAGGGUAAUUUUUUACUGAAAAUAUAGUUUGUCUCUGUACAAAAAAUUGUUAAAAUCGGGUCAUAACUUGAUCUGGGUUUUUUAAAUGUAAAAGUAUUUGUCACAACCAUUUCGCAUUUAAUUUUACUGUUUCUCCAUACGAUGACAGAGAAGUUGACGCUUACAUUUUUCCAUCGAUCAUUCUAACAGAAACACGUGUUGCGUGCGCAAAUACUUUAAUUUGGGUUUUAUAGUGAAGCUGCGCAAAAGGAGCUUACAUAGUUUGCAUUUGCAUUAGUGUUCCUGCCGCAUCGCCCGCUGCUUACGAAGGCUGUUUAAAAGGGACUUCCACAGAUUUUUUUUAUAUAAAAGACGACAUUUGCGAAAAGUCUACUCUGCAGUUUACACUAUGAGUGAGGAGUUGAUACCAUCAACUGAGCUGUCGUUAUUUGCCGAGCAAUGUCCGUUGGGAGAUGAGUCCCCUACAACGGAAAAUGUCGACAAUGAGUCCGUAGUAAUUUUGGAUAGUGAUGAACAGUUAAUUAAUUUAUUGUGUUCGUGGGAUUUGUCGUCAAAUGCAUUGAUACAGUUCAAUAGAUGUGGUUUAAAGAGUGUAGCAAUUUUGCAGAUGAUCCAUUCCCACGACAUUGACGAAAUUUUUAAUGCCAGAUAACUAAUUGCGGACAAAAUUAAGUUCCGGUACAACUUGCAAAAAUGGCGUUUAGAAAAUAAUUUCGAUAUGCUCACGUGCUGUAGUGGUGAUAGAACUAUAACAAACCUUUCAUCCAUUCGAAGCUGGCUGAGCUCUGCAAGCACACCUUCAACAUCCCCAAACAACGAACCCAACGUCGAAGAGGUUUUAAAAGAAACAGUAGCAGGUAACGACAUAAUAAAGAAGUACAAAAACUGUGAUUGCCUCCAAGAAAGUGACCAAUCUGCAAUAGUUCGCAUUAUUGUGGAUAAUUACUUAAUACGUGAUAUUAAAAUGACCCCGAUCACCAUGAAAACUGUUGCCGAACAGAUUGUCAAACUGUUUUCUAAAGAACAAGAAUCGGUGUAUUACGUACCCAGGACAAACAAAAAAAACGCAACUGGGAAAUUAUAUGAUAGAUACUUUAGCGUUUAACUAUAGAAAACAAUUAUUUGCUUAUGAUCCAUCUCACGUCAAAGGUUUAAGUAAUCCUUUAACGAAGGCUCAAAUUAAGACUAAUAAUAUUAAAAUGAACGCUUAUGAAAUGAAACUGUUUUUAAAUACUAUUUUGUUAAUGAUUGGGGACUUAAUAGAUGAAUUUGAUUCAGUAUAUACAUUUUUAAUAACGUUUAUUAAAAUUGUUGAUAUUGUUAUGUAUGAGGAGUUCAGUGAC